rnacentral:lncRNA from 1 species
AAGGAAAUGUGUGAACUGUCAAUGAUCAGGAAGUGCUUGGGGAAAAGAUACUUCUCAAGAUUUCCUGUCCUUCAGGAAGGAUCAGCACAAGCAUGUGAACAGGCAUGUCACUCUCUGCCUCCCAGCCUGAGGGAAAUGAUGUAUAUAACCUGGCACUUUCAACCUGGUAAGAAGACAGUUUCUUCUCAUGUUCAUCUCGUGUGUGUGUGUGUGUGUGUGUGUGUAAACUCCUUGACUACACGUAUGAAUGAAACCAACCUCAACCCCCAUCUGUCCUGUCAAAAAGGCUGGGAUGCCCACAGGUUGGACUGAGGCAACAGAUCUAUGCCGCCAUGCAGUAAUAUUAUGGAAAUAAAGGUAAUCCACAGCUACUACCCUCCUGUGUAUGUCCCUCAUUUUUUAAAUGAGAAACAAUAAGAAAGUCUCGUUUAAAUGUUGGCUGUAAUUUUUAAGCUUUAUGGAGCCAGCCCUAAUAGGCCACCAUUUGCUUCUUUGUCUUGCAUAUGAAGUCGUGAUUCAUCUGCAUGCAAUUCUGCCUUGUUUGUUAUAAUGUUGCCAUGACAACAUUUUUUCCUUUCAAGUAGCAAGUAAAUUGUGGAAGAGAGCAUACAAACAGCAUGCUCCUAUAGGUAAAUACUUCAUUGCUAUCUACACAAACAUUUCAUUCAUUG